CCCCUAGUAACGGCGAGUGAAGAGGGAAAAGCUCAAAUUUUGAAUCUGGUGUCUUUGGCAUCCGAGUUGUAAUCUAGAGAAGUGUUUUUUGCCUUGGACCACACAUAAAUUCCCUGGAAUGGGGUGUCAUAGAGGGUGAGAAUCCCGUUUGUGGUGUGGACUCCCUUGGCUCUGUAAUACACUCUCAACGAGUCGAGUUGUUUGGGAAUGCAGCUCAAAAUGGGUGGUAAAUUCCAUCUAAAGCUAAAUACUGGCGAGAGACCGAUAGCGAACAAGUACCGUGAGGGAAAGAUGAAAAGCACUUUGGAAAGAGAGUGAACCAGUAUGUGAAAUUGUUGAAAGGGAAGCGUUUGAAGUCAGUCACAUUGGUCAGAAUUCAGCCUGGCUUCUGCCUGGUUCACUUUUUGGCAAAUGGGUCAGCAUCAAUUUUGAUUGAGGGAGAAAGACUUGAGGAAUGUGGCUGUCUUUGGACAGUGUUAUAGCCUCUUGUUGUAUGUCUCAAUUGGGAUUG
rnacentral:rRNA from 1 species